UGGGAACGUACCUUUUGGUUCGGAACAACACAGGGAAACUUGUGCUAAUACCGGAUAAGCCCUUACGGGGAAAGAUUUAUCGCCGAAAGAUCGGCCCGCGUCUGAUUAGCUAGUUGGUGAGGUAAUGGCUCACCAAGGCGACGAUCAGUAGCUGGUCUGAGAGGAUGAUCAGCCACAUUGGGACUGAGACACGGCCCAAACUCCUACGGGAGGCAGCAGUGGGGAAUAUUGGACAAUGGGGGCAACCCUGAUCCAGCCAUGCCGCGUGAGUGAUGAAGGCCCUAGGGUUGUAAAGCUCUUUUGUGCGGGAAGAUAAUGACGGUACCGCAAGAAUAAGCCCCGGCUAACUUCGUGCCAGCAGCCGCGGUAAUACGAAGGGGGCUAGCGUUGCUCGGAAUCACUGGGCGUAAAGGGUGCG
rnacentral:rRNA from 1 species